rnacentral:rRNA from 1 species
CUUAGUUGCCAUCAUUAAGUUGGGCACUCUAAGUUGACUGCCGGUGACAAACCGGAGGAAGGUGGGGAUGACGUCAAAUCAUCAUGCCCCUUAUGAUUUGGGCUACACACGUGCUACAAUGGACAAUACAAAGGGCAGCGAAACCGCGAGGUCAAGCAAAUCCCAUAAAGUUGUUCUCAGUUCGGAUUGUAGUCUGCAACUCGACUACAUGAAGCUGGAAUCGCUAGUAAUCGUAGAUCAGCAUGCUACGGUGAAUACGUUCCCGGGUCUUGUACACACCGCCCGUCACACCACGAGAGUUUGUAACACCCGAAGCCGGUGGAGUAACCUUUUAGGAGCUAGCCGUCGAAGGUGGGACAAAUGAUUGGGGUGAAGUCGUAACAAGGUAGCCGUAUCGGAAGGUGCGGCUGGAUCACCUCCUUU